rnacentral:rRNA from 1 species
UGCUAUACAUGCAGUCGAGCGACAGAUAAGGAGCUUGCUCCUUUGACGUUAGCGGCGGACGGGUGAGUAACACGUGGAUAACCUACCUAUAAGACUGGGAUAACUUCGGGAAACCGGAGCUAAUACCGGAUAACAUAUUGAACCGCAUGGUUCAAUAGUGAAAGGCGGCUUUGCUGUCACUUAUAGAUGGAUCCGCGCCGUAUUAGCUAGUUGGUAAGGUAACGGCUUACCAAGGCAACGAUACGUAGCCGACCUGAGAGGGUGAUCGGCCACACUGGAACUGAGACACGGUCCAGACUCCUACGGGAGGCAGCAGUAGGGAAUCUUCCGCAAUGGGCGAAAGCCUGACGGAGCAACGCCGCGUGAGUGAUGAAGGUCUUCGGAUCGUAAAACUCUGUUAUCAGGGAAGAACAAAUGUGUAAGUAACUGUGCACAUCUUGACGGUACCUGAUCAGAAAGCCACGGCUAACUACGUGCCAGCAGCCGCGGUAAUACGUAGGUGGCAAGCGUUAUCCGGAAUUAUUGGGCGUAAAGCGCGCGUAGGCGGUUUUUUAAGUCUGAUGUGAAAGCCCACGGCUCAACCGUGGAGGGUCAUUGGAAACUGGAAAACUUGAGUGCAGAAGAGGAAAGUGGAAUUCCAUGUGUAGCGGUGAAAUGCGCAGAGAUAUGGAGGAACACCAGUGGCGAAGGCGACUUUCUGGUCUGUAACUGACGCUGAUGUGCGAAAGCGUGGGGAUCAAACAGGAUUAGAUACCCUGGUAGUCCACGCCGUAAACGAUGAGUGCUAAGUGUUAGGGGGUUUCCGCCCCUUAGUGCUGCAGCUAACGCAUUAAGCACUCCGCCUGGGGAGUACGACCGCCAGGUG